AGGAUGAAAUCCAUGCUGGAGAAAUACACAGCUGAAAUAAGGUGCCAGUGGGCAGAGACUGAUUCCCUCCAAGCAAAUAAUUUCAUUUGGGACUUAAGCACACCCUCCUUUAGAAUGCACGUUGAGGCACUUUGCUCAGUUGCGGCCAGACAAGUUCCCUCAAACCAACACUGUACAACAAAGUAUUCCAGCUUCCUCCCUGCAAUGAGAGUUUUCCAUAUGUUUCAGAGUGCUGCUAUGCUGCAUGGACUCCAAAUUCUGCUCUCCAGGCUCAAUACAAGGAGGCACUGGUUGAUUAGUGAGGUUAAUCACUCUAACACGGCAUCAGGCAAUUGUGCAGCUUUGCAGUUCCAGAAGAUCUGCACUUCUAAUAGGUAAAGAAGAAUGCUAUGUUCCAGCCAUUGAUCUACUGGAGUGCUGAACACAACCCCAUCAGCAUUGCCAGAUUUUCAGCACUGACAUCUCCAUGCAGGUGCUACACGUGGGAAGUGUGUGGUCAUAGUUUCAGCUUUGCAGAGAGAACUAAUUGACUUUCACACAGGAUCUUGAUAUUUCGAAAUCUGGGUUUAUUCCAGUUUGGAACAAAAGCCAAACAUUUCAUAAUUGUCUGUGAAAUGCAAUAAAGCUUCAGCGUGGGAGCAGGUCAUCUCCUAGGCUUCCCCAGAGCAUUGGUCCUGUGAGCACUGAGAUCUCCUGAGCCAGGCUAGGGGGGUUGCCCUGGAAGGCUUUUCCUCACUGACCUGCUCCAGAGCAGCAGCACCCUUAACUGCUGGAGUCCCAGCUGCUGAGCAGCUCCCAGGCUGCCGGGCAUCUAGGAGAACCAGAGGAAAAUCCCAGUGUCACUGCAAAACAUACCAAUUUGACUGAACUGGCAAAUUCCUACCAGAAAAUGUUUUGUCAGAAAUUUUCUAGUCUGUUCCAUUGGUAAUUCAAGGCUUGUGUUUACUGUAAAGGAGAUUACUGUACUGUCUAGCAUGCUCCAGGGUAACAGUAAUAGUGCUGUCAUUUGGGUAUUAAAAAGGGGUGGUGGUGAGGGAGAAUAUUAGGAGAUUGCCUGAUACCUCUCCACCCCAACUUCAAAGCGUAUAAAAUACCAGGUGAAAUUCCUCUUGCUUUAGAAUCCCUUCCCAUACCUCAAUUGAAGGUUAAAACUGCCUAUGACAUGCCUAUGACACUGGCACAAGAUUCUAACGAGAAGCAGCAUCAGAAACUGUACCAGUCCAAGGCAGGAGCAGUAACGAGAAUGGCCUGGGCCAGAGCAGACAGCCAGCAGCCUGAAGCCUGGUAUUGUUGAGUGGUUUCUGCAACACAGGACAGAAGUUCCUCUCUAGUGGUAGCAACGAAAAACCGUUUCAGUGUGUCAAAAAGAAUUAAAAACAACUUCUGCUUAACUGGUUCUCAUAUUUUUACAAACUUCUAAUGUCACUUCAUCUUAAUUGAUAUUUAGGAGUGAUGGUUAUGAACACUUGAAUGAGUGUUUUAUCCUGACAAAGUACAAAAGGCCAGAUUUGGCCUUCAGAACCAUGCAGUUCCUUCCAUGUUCCUUUUAACCUUUUUUUUGUUGCUGCUGAUACAUUGUCAAGAGAGAACAAUAGAGCAUGGAGUGCACGGAUCUGUGAGAUGCACGGAAAAUUCCUCACAGACUGCUUAAUGGAAUCCUUUGCUUUUUUGUUUUCUGUUAAAAAGUGAAAAAUAGUAAGAUGAAACUUAAAAAUAGAAGAUUAGGUUUUCAAUCAAAUAAAUGUGGCAGAGAAAAGUGUCUGCUUCUCUUGAAAUCUUUUGUCUUCUUCCAGGAAUACUGUUUUUAUUUUUAGUUUGGGGACCUUGGGGACCUUUCUUUCCUUCCUUCCUUCCUUCCUUCCUUCCUUCCUUCCUUCCUUCCUUCCUUCCUUCACAAUUAAUAGUCACAUAUUUUAAUAAUGAUAAAAAAAGACCAGCUUUUUUUUUUUUUGUAUAGCCCUUAUCCAAGCUAAUAUAAAGUGUUUGUAAUAUUUUGUAAUAUAUAAAUUAUAUAAGAUGUAUAUUGAGAGCAAAACAGCCAUUCACAACUCUGGGAGCACGAGAAGACACUACAUCAAAGGCACAGUCCUUCUCAGUGCAGGAUGGUGCAGGACCUGCCCUCCUGAACUGCACACUGCACUGAUUUGUUGUCUACCUUGGUUAGUUACAUGACUUCUCUGUGUGGGACAUGGUCAGAAAGUUGCAAGAUACAGGGAUGGAUUAACAAAAAUAAUGUCCCAUAGACUUGUAAUUGCUUAUAUAUGCUUGAUAGGAACUUGGUUGGCCAUGAUCAGAACUCAGGGUUCCUCACACCUCUGUACGUAUUUGGCCCCUAGGACACACUUGUCUUUUUCUAAAUGCAGCAUUCAGGGCAAACAACAAUGACAACAGCACUCCACCUGAAAAAACAGGCUGAGAACAGAAUAGCCAGGGCUGUUUGCCAGAGUAACAUCAAAAGACAGCCAGAGCAAAUUGGAGCUUUCAAGGACCUAAAUUUGAUAGGGCUGCACUACUGAAGUUGUACCAAAACCAAAGUUUUAUUUGUUUAGACACUCAGGUCAUAAGCAAACAUUUAUUACACGCAUGAGAGGGACAAUGAGAACAUCGCUAGCAAUAAUUCAGCUCCUCUUCUAUGUCUCGUAGACCUAGACUCUACCUCUUAAAGCACUGCAGUCUCUAUGCAGGUGGAGGAGGUGAUGAUGGUGUGAGUUUGGGCAUUGGUGGAGGGAAAGGAAAUCCCACUCUCUGCAGUUCACCCAACCUGGAAGUUUUGCUGCAGUACAAAGCCUACUGCUUGCUGCAGCUUUCAUAGCCAGGCAUUCUUUAGAUUCAUUAUGAGAUUCUAGGUCCUUUAUGCAUUCACCUUGCUGUUUUUCAUUAACUUUUCCUGUCAGUUGCUUGAAGUGAUCUGUAACCUCAAAAGUCACCACAGGACUAGAGGAUGUCUCUAAGAAAUGAUCUUUACAGACAAACACUCUACACUAUAGAAGUUUACAGUGAAAUCCUGUUAAAACCACUGAAGAGGUUUUGUGAAAUGCAUUUUGUACCCCAGUAAAGACCUGAUGAAGCUGAAAGCCAAGCAAGGUUCCUUACACCAAUGGAAUAACUGCGGGUUCCUACUCAUGGAGACUUCAGGGGACUCCAGACAGCAGAGAUGAAGGAGCUCAGGGAUGACAGAAUUGAGUAAAAGCAGUCCUACUUAUUAGACCAGUGAUGUUUCACUGUGAAUCACAUUACUUAGACAAGAUAUUUUCUUCCACUCAAGGCAAUAGAAGUGCAAAUAUAUUUCCUCUUUGCCCUGAGAUCAUCUGAGCUGAAAUAUGAUAGAUAUAACUCCUAACAGAAGCUAGCUAAAAAAGAAUACCUACAGAGUGCUGACUUACUGUAUUGUUUUCCCAGAAGAGGAAUGGUGUCAAAGGAGAAAUAUGGUAGAAAGUGUGCUAAGUAUAUUGUCUAAGUGCUGCUAAAAUGAUGAGACACAGAUCGUCUCCUUUGGCCCAUCCGGUUUAAUGUCAGGGACAAUAAAGAUGAAAUAAAGAUGAUGUCAGGCUAACGUUAGAGUGAGUUUGUUCACAGAGUUGUGAUAACAUGCACAGGGAAUCCAGAGCAACAGUGAGUCAUUCUGCUGAAAGAAAGCAAUGAUGAGAGAACUGAAUACAGGGAAAUUUUCUAUAUAUUUUCUUAGCAAUGUAGAAUGGGAGGAAAAAGCCACCCCACGGGAUAAACCAAUGAAGACUUUAAAAUUGAAAAGUAAGAAAUGUUUAUUUACUGCAACUUGUCAAGAUGAAUUCCAAUGUGGCAUAUCCUCCCCUCUAGACCCCCUAUACAUAUGAGAACAGCACUUGGAUAUGUAGUGGGUGGGAGAGAAAAAUAUAGAAAAAGAUGGAAUAGGGAUGUAAAGUAUCACAUAUUUAAAACAUUUUGGAUUUGUUCCCAAAAAAGAGGUUUUUUUGCUUCAUGCUCUGAGGCCCAUAUAAAGUAAUGUAAUUCUUCCCAUCCUCCAGAAAACAAAAAUCAUUUGAGGACAGUUAGGGGAACUUACACAGAUAUGAAAUAACUGCACUUUAGUUAAAUCAGAAUCUUGGUACUUAGAAUAUUAGUAUUUUUUCAGGCUAUCAAGAAAAAAAAACACACAAUGUUUAGAAGAAUAUACACUAUUGAUUCUGGUGAAUAAUGCCAACAAACAGAAAAACGUACAUACAGUUAUACGUAAGCACUGUUAGGUUUCUUUGCCAGGAUGGCUGCCAACUGUGCAGAUUCAAUUGUUUAUCAACCUGUCUAGCUUUCCUUUUUUGAACAGCCUUCUCUGUCCAUCUGUCCAUCUCAACCCCUGUUUCUUGUCUUCUAAAAUAAAAGGAUCACUGGGACCACUAACUUUUUCUUUUUUUUCCUGAGGCUGCAAGGUCUGCAAAAGGUUAUGCCUUGUAAACAACAGCAAGCAGACCAUGGAAAUCAGGUAUAAAUAACUGUACCUCAUGGUCCUUCAUCAAGCAAGUGAAUGCACAAUGACUUUGCUAUGCUUAUCAGAUGUGCAGAUUCUUGUAAGUUUGCUUAUGUCUGCAUUUGUUGCCAUUUACAAAUAAAAUCUUUCCUUGGGUAAACUUGACAAUAAAGUAUACUUAUGCUCAAAAGAGGAUUUUUCAAUUUUCAAUAACUAUUUAAAACCACAUCAAACACAACAAAAUUGAAGGCUCUGGGCUGACCUUAUUGCAACUUUUCAGUACAUAAAUGGGGCUUAUAAAAACGAUGGAGAGCAAUUUUUUGCUGUCAGAUAAUGACAAGGACAAGGGGGAAUGGUUUUAAACCAAAAGAGGGGAGAUUUAGAUUAGAUAUUAGGAAGAAAUUCUUCACUCAGAGCGUAGUGAGGCACUGGAACAUGUUGCCCAGGGAGGCUGUGGAUGCCCCAUCCCUGGAGGUGUUCAAGGUCAGGUUGGAUGAGGUCUUGAGCUACCUGAUUUCAUGGGUGGAAUUCCUGCCCAUGGCAGGGGGACUGGACCUGGAUGAUCUUUAAGGUCCCUUCUAACCCUAAGGAUUAUGUGAUUCUAUGAAAUACUAUUCUUUCAAUGCUAUAAAUGACCAGAAUUUUCAUAAGGUGCCACACAUUCU